UCUCCUAUGGUCUAGUGGUAUGAUAGCGGACUUUGAAUCCGUUGACGGUGGUUCGAUUCCACCUAGGAGAAC
rnacentral:tRNA from 1 species